GGACUACUCGGGUAUCUAAUCCUGUUUGCUACCCACGCUUUCGCUCCUCAGCGUCAGUGCCGGCCCAGACCACCGCCUUCGCCACCGGUGUUCCUCCUGAUAUCUGCGCAUUUCACCGCUACACCAGGAAUUCCGUGGUCCCCUACCGGACUCUAGCCAUAGCAGUAUCGAGUGGCGUCUCCAGGUUGAGCCUGGAGGUUUCACACCCGACUUGCCAAGCCGCCUACGAGCUCUUUACGCCCAAUAAAUCCGGACAACGCUCGCCCCCUACGUAUUACCGCGGCUGCUGGCAC
rnacentral:rRNA from 1 species